rnacentral:rRNA from 1 species
GAUAUUGCACAAUGGGGGAAACCCUGAUGCAGCGACGCCGCGUGAGGGAAGAAGGUCUUCGGAUUGUAAACUUUGGGCUUCAGGGACGAAAAUGACGGUACCUGAGGAGGAAGCAAGGGCAAACAAGUUGCAGGCAGCCGCGGUAAUACGUAGGUGGCAAGCGUUAUCCGGAAUUACUGGGUGUAAAGGGAGCGUAGGCGGGGCGAUAAGUUAGAUGUGAAAUACCGGGGCUCAACUCCGGGGCUGCAUUUGAAACUAUUGUUCUUGAGUGAAGUAGAGGCAAGCGGAAUUCCUAGUGUAGCGGUGAAAUGCGUAGAUAUUAGGAGGAACACCAGUGGCGAAGGCGGCUUGCUGGGCUUUUACUGACGCUGAGGCUCGAAAGCAUGGGUAGCAAACAGG